rnacentral:sRNA from 1 species
UUGACAGCGAAGGCCACUGAAGUCCUCUGUAUAUCCGCAGGGCAGGCAUGGUACAGAGAGCUUCCUUGCACAGCCUUGCCCAUGAGCUCGUCCCUGGCCUGGAGGGACCCACUCUAGAGGUGGUAAGUAAUCCAGUCUUUCUGCUAGCUCCGUCCUGGGCCUCU